UACGUAGGGUGCAAGCGUUAAUCGGAAUUACUGGGCGUAAAGCGUGCGCAGGCGGUUAUGUAAGACAGAUGUGAAAUGCCCGGGCUUAACCUGGGAACUGCAUUUGUGACUGCAUGGCUAGAAUCUGGCAGAGGGGGGUAGAAUUCCACGUGUAGCAGUGAAAUGCGUAGAUAUGUGGAGGAAUACCGAUGGCGAAGGCAGCCCCCUGGGUCAAGAUUGACGCUCAUGCACGAAAGCGUGGGGAGCAAACAGG
rnacentral:rRNA from 1 species